GGGGGCUGCGGAGGGAUCAUUACAGAGUUGCAAAACUCCCUAAACCAUUGUGAACGUUACCUAUACCGUUGCUUCGGCGGGCGGCCCCGGGGUUUACCCCCCGGGCGCCCCUGGGCCCCACCGCGGGCGCCCGCCGGAGGUCACCAAACUCUUGAUAAUUUAUGGCCUCUCUGAGUCUUCUGUACUGAAUAAGUCAAAACUUUCAACAACGGAUCUCUUGGUUCUGGCAUCGAUGAAGAACGCAGCGAAAUGCGAUAAGUAAUGUGAAUUGCAGAAUUCAGUGAAUCAUCGAAUCUUUGAACGCACAUUGCGCCCGCCAGCAUUCUGGCGGGCAUGCCUGUUCGAGCGUCAUUUCAACCAUCAAGCCCCCGGGCUUGUGUUGGGGACCUGCGGCUGCCGCAGGCCCUGAAAAGCAGUGGCGGGCUCGCUGUCGCACCGAGCGUAGUAGCAUACAUCUCGCUCUGGUCGCGCCGCGGGUUCCGGCCGUUAAACCACCUUUUAACCCAAGGUUGACCUCGGAUCAGGUAGGAAGACCCGCUGAACUUAAGCAUAUCAAAAACGG
rnacentral:rRNA from 1 species